AAUACCGCAUGACAUCCCGGCGACACAAGUCGUCGGGAUCAAAGCCGCAAGGCGUCCGGGGAGGGGCCCGCGGCCGAUCAGCUAGUUGGUGAGGUGAUGGCUCACCAGGGCUACGACCGGUAGCCGGCCUGAGAGGGUGGCCGGCCACACUGGAACUGCGACACGGUCCAGACUCCUACGGGAGGCAGCAGUGGGGAAUCUUGCGCAAUGGGCGAAAGCCUGACGCAGCGACGCCGCGUGGGGGAUGAAGCCUUUCGGGGUGUAAACCCCUUUUAGCCCGGACGAAAGGCCGACUUUGUCGGCCCUGACGGUACGGGCAGAAAAAGCCCCGGCUAACUACGUGCCAGCAGCCGCGGUAAAACGUAGGGGGCCAGCGUUGCUCGGAGUGACUGGGCGUAAAGGGUCUGUAGGCGGUGUGGCAAGUCGGAAGUGAAAUCCCGGGGCUCAACCCCGGGGCUGCUCCCGAAACUGCCAUGCUUGAGUGCGGGAGAGGGGAGUGGAAUUGCCGGUGUAGCGGUGAAAUGCGUAGAUAUCGGCAGGAACACCGGAGGCGAAGGCGGCUCCCUGGACCGCAACUGACGCUGAGAGACGAAAGCUGGGGGAGCAAACAGGAUUAGAUACCCUGGUAGUCCCAGCCCUAAACCAUCGGAACUAGGCGUGGGCCCCGUUGGGGGUCCGUGCCGUAGCUAACGCGUUAAGUUCCGCGCCUGGGGAGUACGGCCGCAAGGUUGAAACUCAAAGGAAUUGACGGGGGCCCGCACAAGCGGUGGAACAUGUGGUUUAAUUCGACGCAACGCGAA
rnacentral:rRNA from 1 species